rnacentral:rRNA from 1 species
UACGAAGGGGGCUAGCGUUGCUCGGAAUUACUGGGCGUAAAGCGCACGUAGGCGGCUUUUUAAGUCAGGGGUGAAAUCCUGGAGCUCAACUCCAGAACUGCCUUUGAUACUGAGAAGCUUGAGUCCGGGAGAGGUGAGUGGAAUUCCUGGUGUAGCGGUGAAAUGCGCAGAUAUCGGGAAGAACACCCGUGGCGAAGGCGGCUUUCUGGGCCUUACCUGACGCUGAGACGCGAAAGCGUGGGGAGCGAACCGG